UACAGAGGGGGCAAGCGUUGUUCGGAAUUACUGGGCGUAAAGGGCGCGUAGGCGGGAUGGCAAGUCGGUCGUGAAAGCCUUCGGCUCAACCGAAGAACGUCGGCCGAUACUGCCGUUCUUGAGGGAUGCAGAGGAGACUGGAAUUCCCGGUGUAGCGGUGAAAUGUGUAGAGAUCGGGAGGAACACCAGUGGCGAAGGCGGCUUCCUGGCCUGUUCUUGACGCUGAGGCGCGAAAGCUAGGGGAGCAAACGGGG
rnacentral:rRNA from 1 species